CAGCCGCCGCGGUAAUACGGGAGGGGCAAGCGUUAUCCGGCAUGACUGGGCGUAAAGAGUCCGUAGACUGUAAAGUAAGUUUUUUGUUAAAUCUUAAAACCUAAUUUUAAACAAGCAAUUAAUACUGCUUUACUUUGAGUUUAAUACAGAAAAGUGGAAUUUUAUACGAUAGGGGUGAAAUCUGCAGAUAUAUAAAGGAACAUCAAUAGCGAAGGCAACUUUUUAGUAUAAACUGACGUUGAGGGACGAAAGUGUGGGUAGCAAACAGGAUUAGAGACCCUGGUAGUCCACACCGUAAAUUCUGAGUGCUGUGAUUUAAUUAUAAUUAUACCAAUUUAGAUCUUCAAGCUAACGCAUUAAGCACUCCGCCUGAAGAGUACGAUCGCAAGAUUGGAACUCAAAGGAAUUGACGGGGUCUAUCACUAGUGGUGGAGUAUGUGGUUUAAUGCGAUAAUCCGCGCAAAACCUUACCAAUUCUUGAC
rnacentral:rRNA from 1 species